rnacentral:rRNA from 1 species
UGGAGAAUUUUCCGCAAUGGGCGAAAGCCUGACGGAGCAAUGCCGCGUGGAGGUGGAAGGCCUACGGGUCGUCAACUUCUUUUCUCGGAGAAGAAACAAUGACGGUAUCUGAGGAAUAAGCAUCGGCUAACUCUGUGCCAG